CUUGCCAACCCUUUUCUUCUUUUACUAAUCAUUAUUCUCUCUCAAAUUUUUAUCUCAAACCACAGAUGCCGCUUCUACAUUCCAAGUGACAUGGCACCAGGAUGACACCACCCACUCUCAGUUUAUGGGUCAAGGUGAUUGCCCUUCCACUGGCUGCAAUUGGGCUGUCCACCCUUAACAUUACUGGAUUCAACAAAGCCACCUCCAAUACUUCCUAGAAUCCCUGCUACAGAACUAGUGGCUGAUACCAAGAAUCUCCUCCGGCCAGGACUGGUUUGAUGCCAUCGAUGACUUGUGGCUUCAAGGAACUUUUAUGGACUUUACCCCUACCAAAGCAGUUGUCUGUAGCCACUGGGUUUUAUUUCUGGCUGCCCUGGUAUUCUCAGACCUGUCCCCCGAACAUUCCUCGACUUCCCCUUCUAGGUCCAACGCUGCCCACCAUUAAGCAGGAAGUAGCCAGAGGACUUUACGCCGUCCCCCAUGUCACUUAGAAAAACAAAAAGGGAGGAAUGUUAGGUGCAGGACAGGCUGAGUAAGCUGUCUGCAGGACAGGCUGAGUAAGCUGUUUAGAGGGCAUGCCAAAGUUAGCUGCAGGGUGACCAGGCCUCUCAAACCCUCUGUCUGGUUCUUUAUCAACUAUUUGCUUCAAGCCCAAAUGCCCAAGCCCCCACUUAAGGCUGAACACUCAACCCCCUGCUCAAGGCCGAACACUUAACCCCCCUUGUGCCAACAAGGCAGCUUGCAGACCCAGAUAACUCAUUAGAUUUGGGCUAUAAAAACUCCCUCCUGCCGGGUCCCUCUCUCUCUUGCUCUCUCUUUUGCUUUCUCUGUCUCUCUCUUGUGUGGGCUUCCUCUCUCUCUCUCUCCUUCUCUCUCUCUCUCUUCUCCUCUGUUGCACUGCUGCAAUAAAGCUCUCUUGGUCGCUCUGA
rnacentral:lncRNA from 1 species